UAAUGGUAAUGGUAAGCUUUAAGAGCUAUAAUUCAAUGCUUAAAGGUAUUAUCAUGAAAAACUCAAACUGAGUUGUUUCUUGAAGGAAUUCAUUAAAGUUAAAAACACAACCACAUAUUAUGCAUAAAAGUGGUGUUAUACACAACAUGAUAUAGGAACAGUUUGUGGUCAUUUUACAUAGGAAUGCACAAACCACAAUCAGUAAUGUUGUCGGUGAUUGAGUUUCAUUGCUCUAUAACCAACUAAAACUUGAAAUUCCAGAAUACUAACUGCCUGCUCUGUACCAGUUUACAAGCAUGUCAUCAACCACAGCAACUCAAUAGCUUCAUUCUGUGACUGGCAGGCUGAAAAUGACUUGACCUGUAAAAGUCUUGACAGCAAACAGCUAAAAGAUGCUUUUAAGACUUCUGAAGGUACAGAAAUUUUGGUUGCAUUAAUAUGAAUUUCAAGAGAAAGUUGUAUGAAAUAACCCAGAUCUGCUUUAUUUUGUAGGCAUUUGGGAUAUUACUCAGAAUGAUCAGAAUGCAUAUAUAGAUGUGGUGUAACUUUAAUAGAAUAGCAAGCUGGGAAACAAUGUGUUGAAACUGUGUAUAAAGCCUGCA